rnacentral:rRNA from 1 species
GCCAGACUCCUACGGGAGGCAGCAGUGGGGGAUAUUGCACAAUGGGGGGAACCCUGAUGCAGCGACGCCGCGUGAGUGAAGAAGUAUUUCGGUAUGUAAAGCUCUAUCAGCAGGGAAGAAAAUGACGGUACCUGACUAAGAAGCCCCGGCUAACUACGUGCCAGCAGCCGCGGUAAUACGUAGGGGGCAAGCGUUAUCCGGAUUUACUGGGUGUAAAGGGAGCGUAGACGGCAAUGCAAGUCUGGAGUGAAAGCCCAAGGCCCAACCAUGGGACUGCUCUGGAAACUGUGUAGCUUGAGUGCAGGAGGGGUAAGCGGAAUUCCUAGUGUAGCGGUGAAAUGCGUAGAUAUUAGGAGGAACACCGGUGGCGAAGGCGGCCUGCUGGACGAUGACUGACGUUGAGGCUCGAAAGCGUGGGGAGCAAACAGGAUUAGAUACCCGUGUAC